rnacentral:rRNA from 1 species
UACGUAGGGUGCAAGCGUUGUCCGGAAUUAUUGGGCGUAAAGAGCUCGUAGGCGGUUUGUCGCGUCUGCUGUGAAAACUCGAGGCUCAACCUCCAGCCUGCAGUGGGUACGGGCAGACUAGAGUGCGGUAGGGGAGAUUGGAACUCCUGGUGUAGCGGUGGAAUGCGCAGAUAUCAGGAGGAACACCGGUGGCGAAGGCGGGUCUCUGGGCCGUAACUGACGCUGAGGAGCGAAAGCGUGGGGAGCGAACGGG